CCCUUAGAUGUUCUGGGCGGCCCGCGCACUACACUGGCACUCUCAAUCAGAGCCUGGAUCUAACACUUUGGGGUAUUCUAUGAAGUGGUGUCGUGACUGGGAUUAACCCUUGCAAUUAUUGGUUGCGAACGAGGAAUUCCUUGUAAUCGCGGUUUAUCAGCCCGCGUUGAAUGCGUCCCUGCCCUUUGUACACACCGCCCGUCGCUCCUACCGAUGGAUCGUCCGGUGAAGCUCAUGGAGGGGCGGUUGUCUCAGCUGCCGUCGAAGUGAAAUGGACCUCACGAUCUAGAGGAAGGAGAAGUCGUAACA
rnacentral:rRNA from 1 species